rnacentral:rRNA from 1 species
GCGGACGGGUGAGUAACACGUGAGCACCUGCCUUUCAGAGGGGGAUAACGGCUGGAAACGGUCGCUAAUACCGCAUGAUAUGGCAUCAUCAAAGAUUUAUCGCUGAAAGAUGGGCUCGCGUCUGAUUAGAUAGUUGGUGGGGUAACGGCCUACCAAGUCUGCGAUCAGUAGCCGGACUGAGAGGUUGAACGGCCACAUUGGGACUGAGAUACGGCCCAGACUCCUACGGGAGGCAGCAGUGGGGAAUAUUGCACAAUGGGGGAAACCCUGAUGCAGCAACGCCGCGUGAAGGAUGACGGUUUUCGGAUUGUAAACUUCUUUUCUUAGUGACGAAACGUGACGGUAGCUAAGGAAUAAGCAUCGGCUAACUACGUGCCAGCAGCCGCGGUAAUACGUAGGAUGCAAGCGUUAUCCGGAUUUACUGGGUGUAAAGGGAGCGCAGGCGGGACUGCAAGUUGGAUGUGAAAUACCGUGGCUUAACCACGGAACUGCAUCCAAAACUGUAGUUCUU